rnacentral:rRNA from 1 species
AUUGAACGCUGGCGGAAGGAAGAAAAAAGGAAAGUAGAGAGGAUGAAGGGAGCUUGCUCCUGGAUUCAGCGGCGGACGGGUGAGUAAUGCCUAGGAAUCUGCCUGGUAGUGGGGGAUAACGUCCGGAAACGGGCGCUAAUACCGCAUACGUCCUGAGGGAGAAAGUGGGGGAUCUUCGGACCUCACGCUAUCAGAUGAGCCUAGGUCGGAUUAGCUAGUUGGUGGGGUAAAGGCCUACCAAGGCGACGAUCCGUAACUGGUCUGAGAGGAUGAUCAGUCACACUGGAACUGAGACACGGUCCAGACUCCUACGGGAGGAAGCAGUGGGGAAUAUUGGACAAUGGGCGAAAGCCUGAUCCAGCCAUGCCGCGUGUGUGAAGAAGGGAUUCGGAUUGUAAAGCACUUUAAGUUGGGAGGAAGGGAAGUAAGUUAAUACCUUGCUGUUUUGACGUUACCAACAGAAUAAGCACCGGCUAACUUCGUA